GUUACAAUCCAAAUAAAUUUGCUGACGACGAUGACGUUAGUGACAUGGAGGCAGGAUUUGAAGAUAUUCAGAGGGAGGAGAUGAGAAGUGCAAAAAUUCCAAGAUAGGAGGAUGAAGAACAAGCUAGGUUGAUAGAAGAAGAAGAAAGGAGGAAACGUUCGGCCGCUAAGCAGCCUGGAGGCAAUUUCAAGCUAUUGAGUAGCUUGAAAGCAUUGUGGGUCGCAAAGUUACAGAGAGAAGUAGAGAAGCAAAGGAGCUAGCUAGAUCAACAAGAAAAUCAGAAUGAGUGGAUGCGGCAUGGAAGCGGUGUCGUCUAGGCCACAAGAGGCGAAUGACCAGCACAAGAGGAAGUUUGCUAUGGGAACUUUCUUGGGGUCCAACUAGUCCUUUUGAUGUUGUUCUUGUAGCUAGUAUGAGAGAUAAUACUUUUGUUAGACGACUUUGUUAAUUGUAUUUCACUUAGUAUGGUAAUUGAUUUGUUACUGAUGUUUACCUAGCUAGCUAAUCUUUGUGUGAUGUUUAGUAAUGAAAGUUGUAUAUACAAUUCAUUAGUAUGGUAAUUGAUUUG